GGUUGACCUCGGAUCAGGUAGGGAUACCCGCUGAACUUAAGCAUAUCAAUAAGCGGAGGAAAAGAAACCAACAGGGAUUGCCUCAGUAACGGCGAGUGAAGCGGCAACAGCUCAAAUUUGAAAUCUGGCCCUUCUGGGGUCCGAGUUGUAAUUUGUAGAGGAUGCUUCGGGCAAGGCUGUGGUCUAAUUCGCUUGGAACAGCGGGUCAAAGAGGGUGAGAAUCCCGUCUAGGAUCGUAUGCCGCGUCCAUGUGAAGCUCCUUCGACGAGUCGAGUUGUUUGGGAAUGCAGCUCUAAAUGGGUGGUAAAUUUCAUCUAAAGCUAAAUAUUGGCCAGAGACCGAUAGCGCACAAGUAGAGUGAUCGAAAGAUGAAAAGCACUUUGAAAAGAGAGUUAAACAGUAUGUGAAAUUGUUGAAAGGGAAGCGCUUGCAAUCAGACUUGUGGCUGACGGUUCCCCCGGCCCUCGUGGCCGGGCUACUCCGUCGUGUCCAGGCCAACAUCGGUCUGGGUGACCGGUUAAAGACCCCAGGAAUGUAUCUACCUUCGGGUCGACUUAUAGCCCGGGGUGGAAUGCGGCCCACCCGGACCGAGGAACGCGCUUCGGCUCGGAUGUUGGCGUAAUGGUUGCAAGCGGCCCGUCUUGAAACACGGACCAAGGAGUCUAACAUCUAUGCGAGUGUUUGGGUGUCAAACCCCUACGCGGAAUGAAAGUAAACGGAGGUAAGAACCCCGCAAGGGGCGCAUUAUCGACCGAUCCUGAUGUCUUCGGAUGGAUUUGAGUAAGAGCAUAGCUGUUGGGACCCGAAAGAUGGUGAACUAUGCCUGAAUAGGGUGAAGCCAGAGGAAACUCUGGUGGAGGCUCGCAGCGGUUCUGACGUGCAAAUCGAUCGUCAAAUUUGGGCAUAGGGGCGAAAGUAAGCAUCUCUUUUCUUUAUCCCCUUGUUAUGUUUUGUUUUUUUGGGGUCAGGCGCGCGAUGCGCAAAAAGGGGAUGUCACUUCAAAUAAGGGGUCUGUCAACCCCUUGUCAGUUCGGGGGGUUCAUGCCAACUAGCGGGGCCUGAUCGUUGAGAGCUACACAAGAAUGCAAUGGGCCCUUCCCCUUGAUUGAUAAACAAAGCCCUUCUUGCUCCUUACAAAUCGCGUGUCUGGCCCAUUA
rnacentral:rRNA from 1 species